CUGCAGCUCAAGUGGUGACCACUAUUAUUGGGCCUAAAACGUUCGUAGCCGGUUUGGUAAAUGCCUGGGUAAAUCGUGUAGCUUAACUAUACGAAUUCCGGGUAGACUGCCAAACUUGAGACCGGGAGAAGCUAGAGGUACUCCUGGGGUAGAGGUGAAAUUCUGUAAUCCUGGGGGGAUCACCAGUGGCGAAGGCGUCUAGCUAGAACGGGUCUGACGGUGAGGAACGAAGCCCUGGGGCGCAAACCGGAUUAGAUACCCGAGUAGUCC
rnacentral:rRNA from 1 species